UGGUCGGAAGUGUUUAAGGGAGGUUGCGGGGGAUCGAGGUGGAUGAGGAGAAGGACGGAAAGGAGGAGGAGGAGAUAGAUGAGGAGAAAAAAGUGGACGAGGAGGACGAGGAUAACGAGGAUUUCUGCACUUGAUCGAGGUAUAACCCGAGGUGGUUAGCCGUGGUCGUUAGAGGUGGUUGGCAGCGGUUGGAGGUGAUCGGAGGUGGACGAGGAGGAGGACGAGGAAGACGAGGAUUUGUGCUCGGUAUAACCCGAGGUAGUUCGCGGUGGUUGCGGGUGAUCGAGGUGGGCGAGGAGGAGG
rnacentral:lncRNA from 1 species